CUCCAAUUUGAUUUGUCAAACUGACGUUUUGACAACACAAAUUUUGGAAAUUCUGCAUUGUAUCUGCAGUAUUUAAUUUGGGUUGAUUUCUAAUAAAAUCAAAACAAAUAUAACACCAAACAUUCAUUGGAAAUAUGCUGUAAAUUAUAAAACAGUUCAUCAAUUGACAACUACAGUUCUUUAUUCAAAUAAGUGUAUGGUAAUAAGAAGCUAAGAUGUCGGAUAAGAUGUUGACGCUGGGCCAGCGUGUGAUGGUGGUCGGGAAAGACGUAAAAGGCUCUGUUGCGUAUGUCGGCUACCCUACCUUUGCCACUGGGAAAUGGAUUGGCGUUAUUCUUGAUGAGCCGAAGGGAAAAAACAAUGGUACUGUUCGUGGACACGCUUAUUUUACGUGUGAAGAGAACUACGGUGUGUUCGUACGUCAAACUCAGAUACAGUUGCUGGAUCCGGAAGACAAUCCGAUGGAAACGUCUCUGACAACUCCGUCCGAGGAGCCGAAGUCUGCUGCGUCUAAUAGACGUUUGAGCAGUAUAACAGUGGCGCAGAGAUCUAGGCCUACAACGGUGCGUCGGAAGGCGUCGCCCGCGCAGACUAAAGCGGGCACUCUGUCCAUGUCGAGCUCGCGCACCUCACUGGCCAGUAGCCGGCAGUCGCUGACGUCGUAUGCCUCGCCGACUGCCGAGAGGGCGGCCUCGCCGGACCAGGGGAAGAGGGCGUCUUUUGUUGAGACGGGCUUCGUGGAGACCCUGACUCCUCAGUACACUCCUGGGCAGAGCAUCACGUCGCCGCAGCCCGCCUCCUCCAGCAUGGAGGAUAAGAUAGCCAACAUGCAGGCGCAGCAAGAGAUAACAUCCCUAAAAUCGGAAGUAGAAGAUUUGAAAGAGAAGCUCGAAACUCUCAAAGUCCGCCGCGCAGAAGACAGAGAGAAGAUACGUGAAUUGGAACGCGUAAGGCUACAGUUGGACCAGGCCAACGAGUUCAAGGCCAAGAUCAUGGAGUCUCAAGCUCAGCUGCAGAGAGACCUGCAGAGGGCUAAGCAGGAGGUCCGCGAAGCCCAAGAGGCUCUCGAAACUCACAACGACGAGACAGCGGAACUGCAAGAGGCAGCUGAAAUGGCAGCCCUCGACAAGGAGAUGGCGGAGGAACGGGCCGAAGCCCUGCAGAUGGAGCUGGAGCAGUGCCGGGAGAAGCUCGAGGAGGCUACCCUGGAUCUGCAGCUUAUGAAGGCCGAGAUGGAAGCUGGAGGGAAUAUACAGCACCCGUACGCCGAGAGCGGCGCCACCGGCUACGAGAUGCGCCAGCUGCAGCAGCAGAACGUGCGCCUCCGAGACACGCUCGUGCGGCUCCGGGACCUGUCGGCGCAUGAUAAGCAUGAGAUGCAGAAGAUGCAUAAGGAUUUAGAACAAUACAAGUCAGAGAUAGCGGAACUAAGCCGCACUAAAGAGAAGCUAUCUCUUCGAGUUGAUGAGUUGGAAGCUCAAGUGGCCGAUCUUAGGGAGCAGGUGGAUGCAGCGUUAGGGGCUGAGGAGAUGGUCGAACAGCUCGCUGAGAAGAAAAUGGCUUUGGAAGACCAGGUGGAACAACUAAAACAAGACGUAUCCGAACUAGAAGCAUUACAAGAAGUGCACGAACAGCUGGUGGAGUCCAACCGGGAGCUGGAAAUGGAUCUGCGCGAGGAGUUGGAGAUGGCCCACGCUAACACUAGAGAGGCUAUAAGAGAGCGGGAAGCUGCGCUAGAGACGAUCAUGGACCGCGACUCCACGAUCCUGAAGUUCAGAGAGCUCGUGCAGAAGAUGACGGAGCAGUACAACGAGACGCGGGCGCAGCUCGAGUCUAAGCAAGGAUCACCAGCACCAUCAGAACAAGAAUCGACUCCAGAGCCAGUUGCCCGCACCUCCCCACCUGUAGACCUUGGCUCCUUGGUCCACCUGUCCCGAGCUUCCACCAGGUCUAUUGAUCUUCAGCUACGGGCUCUAGAGCUGACGCAGGCUCGGGCAAGGGCUGACAUGCUGUGUGCCUGCCUGCCGGACCACUUCAUGCAGACUGCUGGUGAUCACGACGCGAUCCUGCUGAUUUUGUUGCUUCAGAGACUCAAUACUAAAGCGGAAAUUAUACUUGGACAGAUUAGAGAGAGGUUCCCGCCAGUGAACGUAUGGGACAGAGAGGUGGUGACAAACACACACACAGCCGUGCAGUACAGCUUCCGAUGUCAGUUGGAGUAUCAGCUGCAUAUGAUACAGUGCAUUGUAACAAUGUGGAGCCUCGCCCUUUCCUGCUGUACUCCGGAACUGCUCCUCCGUGCUGCCAGCGCCCUACCCGAUGCUCUGCAGCAAGAGAGGGCUCUGGACGGCCUGGUGCAACUCCUCAAGACUAACGAGCUCGAUGAGAACUGCUCGCUGGACGGUAUCGAGCGCUGCUGGACCUACUUAUCCGCGAUGUGGUCAGCCCUGAAUCUCUCCUCGCUGGAAGGCGCAGACGUGGCCCGGGAGCCACUACUUCACGUGUGCAGUGCGUUAGACGCGCUCGCUAGAGCUCUGCACGCUGAUGCGUCCGCGCUAACGCAUAUAUUGCAGCAAUCGGACCGCCAACAAGAGCUAGGCUUGCUCCACGAAUCUGUCUGCACGACGAGCGCUCAGUUACAGCAACAACUCAAGUGUGUGCGUCGGCGUCUGCCGCCCGGCGUCAGGCUACAUGCUGUACCUUUGGAUCCUCAGCUGGUAGAACGUCUCCGCGGCGAGUGCGCUUCAUCCCUGUGGCGCUGCGCCCGCGCCGCGUGGCUGUGUGCCCGCGCCGCCUGCGCCUGCGCCGCCACGGCCGGCGAGCGAGCCGACGGAGCACCUCUCCCCCACGCGUCUCUGCUCACUCUGUGGGCGGCUGCCGUAGACAAGGUGUACCAGCAGGAUGACCACGGCCCAGUCCGCACUAUCAAGCACUCGCUAACAGCCGUGUGCGGCGACGUCGGCAAGCUGGCGAGCUUCGCGCAGGACAAGGAGUACGACAUGAUGUCGCUCACUAACGUGCAGGCUGAGAAGCCGGUCCCGCCCGUGGUACUUCGAGCUCAACUCGUAAAGAAACAGCUGGAGGAGACCAAGAGUCUCACCAUCAAGUUGGAGAACAAGGAAGCUGAUAUUAGGGAGUUGAGGAAGGCGCUCAAGGCGAAACAAGAGGAACUAUCAGAGAUGACGAUCCGUCGCGAGUUAGGGGAACGCAAGCUGAGUACCGCGGCCAGUGCUGCUGAACUCAGGGCCGAACAACUGCAGAGGAGAUUGGAGGACGCUCACAACCAGCUCAAGAGAAAAGAGAAAGAAUUCGAAGAAACGAUGGAUCACUUACAACAGGACAUUGACUCUCUGGAGACGGAACGCGGAGCUUUGCGCGAGAAACUCAAGCUGUAUGCUAAGAGAGGAGGUGGUCAUCAUGACUUGGCGUUUUUAACUCUGUCGCCGCCGCCCGCCCGCGAGUACAAGGAGACGCCAGUCAAGGUGACGCCGCGGGUGAAGUCAACGAGGCUCUGCAGCAUCAGAUCAAGUUGCUUAGCUGGACGGUGGAGCGCGAGCGAGCAGCCCGAGUGUCGGCAUGCCGCAAGGCGGAGCGCUGCGCUCUGCGGGCGCUGCGCCCCCUGGAGCACCCCGCGUCCGCCGCCGCCGUCGCGCGCAGGCAGGCCGCGGCACAGCUCGAGAGACAGCUCGCUAGCUUGCACACGGAAUGGACGCUAUUCGUGGCGCGGUCCGGCCUAGUGAAGUUCCCCAGCGAGCCGGGACAGUACGGCCACGCGUUACAGCUGCACAAACAGAAGCAGAGGCAAGUCAGGAGGCAGCUCGAGAUGAAGUUAGCAGCCUUACAAGCGGAGGUACGCCAGCAGUUGUUGGUGCAUCGUCCGUGGCGCUGCGUGGAGGCCGACUUCGCAGAGUUCCCUGCGCCUGAACUCGCUGCC
rnacentral:misc_RNA from 1 species